rnacentral:rRNA from 1 species
UAAGGGAUAUUGGACAAUGGGCGAAAGGUGAUCGGCCAUGCCGCGUGCAUGAAGAAGGCCUUACAGGUUGUAAACUGUUUUUGUACCGAAAUAAACCUUGAUACGUGUAUCAAGCUGAAUGUACGGUAAGAAUAAGGAUCGGCUAACUCCGUGCCAGCCGCCGCGGUAAUUAAAAA